UUAAUCAACUCUGGGUCUGGACAAAUCAGGGAUUUAAGAAAGAAUAAACAUGUAAAAAUAGAUAAUAGUAUUGAGCCUUUUUCGCCCAUAUUCACUCUUUACAAGUCCUACAACACUAAAUAUAACCCAAUAUAUAGAUAAAAAGUGAAUAAGCUUAGUCCACACAAUUUGAUAGUUCCAAAAUCACUCAAAACUAGUAAACUUUUAUUCAGCCCAACCUUUUUAUUUUUAAAUAGAGUCCAAGAAAAUAAAUUUUUCACACCUAAUAAAAUAAGUGAACAUCAACUCUCAGAUAGUAAUUAAUCAAAAGCAUGAAACCCCACCAGAGGAAUCAAUAGUCUCACUAUGUUGAUCAUCAGCUUUAUUCAUCGAAUCAAUGUGUGAGAUAACAACAGACUCCUCCAUCAGUACCUUUGCCAGAACACCAAAAGGUUCCUUAUAUCGUCAGUGCCACGGUUUGACUUAUCUCUUUUUAAAUUUUUUUUAACUGUUUUUAAUUUUUAAAUUGUUCGUUUAGAGUGAGUUUUUAUCGUUAAUCAAAUUUUUAUUGUUUUUCUUAUUUUUUUUUAAUCAAAUGAGUCUGAGAAUAUAAUUUUUUUUAUUAAUUUAAAAAAAGUGGAUCUUUAGUGGACUUUUAGUCUAGACGGAAAAAAAAUACGUUUUUUUCUCGAAAAAAAAUAUUUUUACUCUAUAAAUUGCAAUUGAUUUUUUGGUCUUUAUUGAAAUUUUUUUAAAAAAAUUUGAACACUUUUUUAUAUUUCAGACUCAUCUAGUUAGAAAACUAAAAAUUAUAAUUUUUUAUAACAUUGAAAUAAAUUCACUAAAAUCAAAAGUAAAUUAGGUAAAAAAUAAAAAACAAAAAUUAAGGACCCUUCAAUUUAUGAAACAUAAUCGUGCUUAAAUAUAUUAGACAUAAGAACAUUAAUUUUAUAAAGAAGGGGUCUCAAAAACACAUUAACAAGAAAGUCACUAUCCCUGCGAAAGUAACAAAGUUUAUGGAAGCGUCCACAAUAGAUAGAGCAUUAAAAUGAAAAGUACAGCUCCCUAAGGCUGCGUUUGUGGAUCAUAAUUUAAAGCUACAUGUUCCCUCUACCUUUUAUUUUUUUCCUCCACAUAUUCUUUCCGCAAAUCUUCGAUCCAAGUAACAGCUUUAAACCGUCCCGGGCUCCGUGAGCUUUUCCAAUCUUCUCUAACCAUCGAAUGGGCGGGCAGAGGAGUCAUAUAAGUCAACAAAUCGUCGUCUGAACCCUCCAAUCGGAUCCAACAAAUGACCACUCGAUCUGGCACCCGUGCUCAUCAUCACAUCGAUCGGUAACACUUUCAUAGUUGACAAGUACGAAUUGAUCCCAUUUGUUAUCAACUACCCAUAGUUAAACACCGUUCGAUCGGGUCCAUCGGCCAGUACUUCUCGUGGCAACCACUAUGAUCGCCGUCCUCGCCGGUGCCACGGUAUUGAUGAUGUUAUUGUAUACGCCGCAGUACCGGUAGCCCGUUGUCCUUACACCCCCUCGACUUGGUGACACGUGUCCAAUAGUGUGGGGGGGAAUGGUACUUGUUUUAUAGGCUGCAAAAAUCCUCCAAGAGAGGCCAUACUUGGUCUGGUGUUGAGCCUCUGAGCUUGGCUGUGACUUUACCUUCCAUUUAGGCUGCCGUUCCUUCUGCCAUGAGAGAGGAGAGAGUAGAGAGAGAGAGAGAUGUUAGACAAAUAGCCUAUGGUUUGGAGUGGAAUAUUGACAUGGCAAAACUAACAUAGGAGAGAGAGAAUGGAAUGAGUUGACAAACUUUUGGGUUUAGGAAAGCAAAAAUGCUAGGUCAAAGAUAGUUUUAUCAAUUUUAUUCCAAUUAAACCGACUUAUUUUAGUAUUAAAAUAAAUUUAUUUCUUCUUGAUAAGAAUUGAUUUAAUUGAACGAUGUCGUUUUGAUUUUUUUUAUCAAAACGACGUCGUUUUGGUUUUUAUCGUUAAAAAUAUCGUUGAGCAUUUCUGUUAGGAAAGUGCUAUAUAGUCCCAACAAUGAAAAUACAAUUUUGCAAUUUCGAGAAUUUCUACAAUGCGAUUCUCCAUGAAUUUUAUGUUAAAGAAAAUUUAUGUAGAAUCUUUUAUAAUAAGAUAAGUGGUGCUAUUUUGUUAUUAAUUAAAGCCCUCUUUCCCGGGUUAUUUGCAAAUUAAGUUUGUAGUAUUAUGUUUAUGCUGUCAAUACGGCUCUGUUUUGGUAAUGCAUAAAAACCAAGAGUUUUUUAAGUUGCUAUUCAAAAGGUUAAGAAUUUUUGAUUUUUUAUUUGUGGCUUUACUUUAACUAAAAUUUCAGCAAAAAAAUAAAAAGAAAAAAUAAAAAACUAUUUUAAUUGACUUUUUUUUAUUUUUUAAAAAAAAAAAAAAAAACUAAAAAAACAGUGUCAAACAUAGCCUAAUAUGACGUUUUUGGAUUUCAACUCAACUAAAAAGUAAAGUUAUAACAGGUCCAAUGGUACUUUGGCAACCAAGGCCACAAGUGGUGAUGUUAACAUGGACACCCACUGAUAUCUAUAUUGUUAUUUUGUGUUUGGAUAAGUAAUGUUCAAAAGAAAAGAAAAGAAAAGAACAGAAAGAAUUAAAUAAUUUAGUUGUUUCGAUCCUAUAAUUUUGAAUUUUUUUAAUUAAUAUACAUUAAGAGGGUGUUUAAUAUAAUUUCAGGGGGUGUUUUGGUUUACUUAUGUUAAAUUGUUUUUUUAAAAACAAAAAAUUAAAAGUUCAAAUGGAGAUUCUAAAAUCAGUCUUUUUACUUUUGUCUUUAAGAUAUUUUUUUGGGGGCUCAUAAGAAGAAGAAGUUGUGUCAAACAAUCUGACAGCAACUUUUUUACUAUAAUAUAAAAAAUAGAAUUUAGAGCAUAUACGUUGGUCAACAUGCAAUAACACUUCCUGUUAGAAUUGUCAUAUUUAAAGAAUAAGUUAAAAAUCUUCAAACUGAUUUUUCAGAAUCACUGUGUUUUUUUUAAAGUUUUAUUAAAUUAUUUUUUGCUCAUAAACAACAAAUAGAAGUUGUAUCAAACAUUACUAUCAACUAAAUCCAACCUUCACUUUGGCACCCGAGACGAAUUGGAUCUCUCGAAAUAUUGUUGGGUGAAAGUACUCCUGAAGUAUACAAAACUACAAAACCCCAACAAACCCCCACCCCGUUAUUUUGUAGGCAUUUUGUAUACUCUGAAAUAUUCACCCAACAACGACUUCCAAAGAUCCAAACUCACAAAAGUCUGGGUCAUUUUUUUCCCAACCAUGUAAUCAGGCCAUUUUAAUAUACUUCAUUCUUUAACUAAUGUUUGUUAAUCCACUUUUAAUACUUCAUUUUAACACUUCAGAAACCCUUACCAACCACUACUCAUAGAUCCGAACUCACCAAUCCUGAGUCAUUUUUGCCCCAACCAUGUAAUCGCGGCCCCAUAAAUUUAAUUCCUUACCUAAUGAUGUUAAUCACUUAUUACUUUGUUCCUCUCUCUCCACCAUACACUUCCAAAAGGCAGAGAAAUCAAUGAAAGAAAACAAACCCAAAAGGAGCAGUGGGAAGUUUUUUUUUUUUUUUUUUUUAUUUUAAUUAGCACUAGUAUGCAAAUUUCUUCUUCGAACCUUUGACAACAAACAUAGAUAAUUGUCUAACCAUGUUUGAUUCUUUUUUCAUACCCUGAUUAUUAGAUAUUGUAACUUCCCAAUGCAAUAGGCAAUUAAUCACAUCGAGUUAAUAUGGAAAGUAGUCUCACUUGCUAUGGUCCCCUAUAUAUAUCCUAUGUUUUAUAUAUACAAUUUGUUUGUUUUAAUAAAGGAUUUAAGAAUUACUAUAAGUAGUUACUUAUAAUUUCCUACUCUCUCUUUUUAUCGAGUCACUGUGUGACAUCAAAAUAAUGGAUCGGGUUUUUUUUUUAAUAUAGGUUUUAUUAUUGUUAGUGGGCUCGGUAUUUAUUUGGCCUUCUUAUAAAAUUAUCCGAUAAUAAAACAAAUAGAUUUCCAAUCAUUUAAGAAUGUCCUUUUAUGUCUUAACUACUACUUAUUUAUCAAAAAGAAUUACACUAUAUUUUUUAAGCCCCGUGUAGUUGGGUAAAGUUGUUUGAUUUUUUUUUAACUAUUCAGUUUUUCGAAUUUUUGUAUUUUUAGUGAAUUUUUUUCACAAAACCGGUUUGGUCAAGAUUUUAUAAUUUUUCGAUUCAUCAUGACGAGAGGAGUCCAAAUAAAUUUUUCUUAUUAAUUUAAAAAAUAAUUAAAUAAGACGAAAUAACCACUUUUUAGCUGUUUUUGUGGUCAACAUAGUUUUUUUCUGUCAUAAUGAACUUUUUUUAAAUUAUAUACAAAAUUUAAUAUUUUCGGAUUUCUCUCUUCAAGAGAAAGCGAAAAAAUAUAAUAUUUGAUCAACGGUGAAAGUUCACUAAAAACGAAAAAAGACGAAAAUCAAAAUAACCAAAAAACAUUAUUGUCUCGAACCUACACAUGCCUAAAAAAAGUCACUUGUACUCUUUUUUUUUGUACCUCUAAUCUUGAGUUAUUCAUAAAAAAAAUCAGUUAAAUUAAUAUGUCAAUUUUAGUGGUAUAUUUUUAAUCCACAAUUAUGUUUAGGAAAAAAAGUAUGAUUUUUGAGGAUACCAUUUGAGAAAACCCGACUUUAUCAAUUUGUAAUCCUGAAGUGGAUUGUCUAACCCUCGUAAUGGAUAAUUAGUUACCCAAUUUUAAUGUUCGGAACGAUUAAAGUAUCGUGCCAAAAUAUAGUGAUAUAGUGUGUUCAGGUAUGAUAUUAUCAUAAUCGAUCGUAAGAUUCAUUACAACCGAUUGCAACAAAAAAAAAAUUAUAAAUUUUUUACUAAUAAAUAUUAUAAUAUUCAUUACAAUCGAUCGUAAUAGAAAAAAAUUAUAUUUUUUUUUAUCACAAAAGUUGUAACAUUUAUCACAAUGAUGUAUAAUACAUUAUUUUUUUUAUUUUUAACAUACACAUCCCUUAUAAAAUUCACCACAACGAUCAUCACAUAUACUACACCGUCGUAACAUUAUGAUAGUAGACACACUGUGCGUACUUCACACGCACCGUUAAUAUUUUCUUCUAGCUUAAAUAUUAUGUCUACAAUAGUUGUCGUGAGAUGGUUUAAUUCUUUUCAAAAGCAAUUCCUUUUCCUACAUCGGAGUGUGCCUUAUAUCAGCCCACCGGCCUUAAAUCUUAGUCCCAUUUCAAAUAAAAGGAGGAGACUGAAAAAAUUAGGGAGUUGGCCUGAUACCACCCACUCGACCUGAUAUCUUCGUCCCAUUUUUUUGGGUAAAGAAACUCGGUUUCAGAAUUUCUGGCCGAAGUCAAGUUUUGGAUCUUGUUUACAAUAAUAAUAAUAAUAAUAAUAAUCAUAAUAAUAAUGAAGGAUUUUCUUAUAUGGAGAGAAGAGAGAGGAGAGCGCAACAGUGGUGAUGAUAGAAAGUGAAUGUCCCUGUUGAGCAUUUCCAUGUAAACAAUCUCAUACUAAGGCACUGUUUGAACUAGAUUAUUUGCUUAUUUUGGAAAAAAUAAUUUUUUUGGUUUGAUUUCUACACUUUUUUUUUUAUAUAUUUUACACUCUAAAUUUUGUAUUUAUUAGAUAAAAUUACAAAAAUACCCUCAAAAAUCAAUAUAAAAGAGAAUGACGUUUUUGUAAUUUUAACUAAUAGAGACAAAUUUUGGAGUGUAGAAUGUAAAAAAAUGAGUGUAGAAAUCAAAAUAUUUUUUUUUGUUUUGAUUUCUAUACUCCUUUUUUUACACUUUCACUCUAAAAUUUAUUUUUAAUAGGUAAAAUUACAACAGUACCCUCAAAAGUCAUAUAAAACAGAGGAUAAUUUUUAUAAUGUUUUACCUAAUAAGACAUUUAGAGUGGUAAAUAUCAAAAAAGAGUGUAGAAAUCAAAACCUUUUAUUUUGGUUGGCCUAUUUUUUUCGGGUGUUUGAGGAUAAUUUUUUAACCUAGUUUUUCAGGAGCAUUUGUGGCCGAUUUUUUAGUUAAACUCAAAAAUUCAUUAGUGAUUAUUUACUAAUUCUGGCCCAAAACUAGCUAGAUGAUCUUUUAGCUCUCUCGGGUCCAGUUUGGGAUAGUUUAUUUUUAUACUUUUUGUACAUAGACAGUUUCUAUGACUAUUUGAGUAAAGUUUUUUUAGCUAGGCAGUUGGGAUUUUUAACUAAAAUCAAGAUAUUAAUGUUUAUCAAAAAUAUUACAUAUUUUUUAGCACCGCAAAUAUAAAAGCGAUUUGGAAAAAAAUCCCAAACAACUUUAAAUUUGCAAACCAACUGACCUCAACUAUUUCGACAUUACUGAGAUAUUUGUUAUAUAUUAAAAUAAAAAUUCCUCGAGUAAAAAGGAAAAGCAAAAAGGACUCAAAAAUCUGAAUUAUAAAAAAAAUCAGUGUUUGACCAGAGAAGCCAAUUAAAUCUAUAAAAUUCCAUUGGAUAAAUUGAACACUUAUAUUUUAAUCCGAUAUAUUUAAAUUAUAUUUAAUUUCUAUCUACAUAGGACUAACAGAAUAACUUGGUUCUCAUAAAAAAAUGCACGCACAUGAUUUCCUAUAAGGCGCCCAUUUUUUAAGCCAUAACACGAAUUAAUAAUACAAAUUAAGAGUUUGGAGUCUUAUAUUUGUGUUCAAAUGACCAAAAUUUACACUACAAUUCUAUGUUAUUUUGGAAUGAGAUGAUUCGAUUAGACUUAAAAAAGAGGGAAAACUCCAUAAAUGAUGAUUACAAUCCAUUUUGGGAGAGAUCAAUUAGUUUUAUUAAACCGUAACUGGACGGAGACUAACAACUUGUUUAAAUUGAAAACGAUUAAAAUAUAAAAUUUAAUUUGUUAUAAUUAAAACGAUGGUUUAAUUUUCAUAUAGUUAAACUCUAAGAUUUUUAUGUAAUUCGCCAAAAUAUUUCUUACCUGUGUCGACAUCGAUUGAAUUAAAGCGGUACAAGGCCGAAAUCAAAUACCGAUUCCAAAUAGCCGCGUCUCCCGAAAUUCUUGCACUCGAAGCCCCGCCUCAAAAUAUAAAUGCCCAUCUUAUAAUUGGAAAAUAAAUUCUUACAGUAGCCACUUUUCACAUUCUAUAUUUACAACAUCCAUAUUUUUACCCUUUACUUUGAUUUGGAUCAAAUUAGAUCUUUUAUACUUUAGGUUCACGUAUUAGAGUCUUCUUGAUUGUCGUUAUUGGUGAGAAGUGAAGCGCUGUCCUUCAUGUUUUGGAUUACAAAUUAUGUGAGAAAUGGUGAAAAAUAUACACUAUCUCCUUACAAACUUUUUUUAUUUCGAACAAAAGUGGAAGAUUUGACGUGAAAUAAACUGAUUGGUUGUAUAUUUUCUGCUAUACUGGCAUUGCCACUCAAAGUGCAAAUGAUAAAUAGAAUCUCUAUAUGCUUCAUCUCACAUCAUUUUAUAAAAAAACUAUUUAAUUGGAGAUAUUUUUUUUAUUUUUAGUAAAUUUUCUCUUAAAUUAGAAAUAAUUUUUUUGUAUUUUUAAAACUCUUUUCAUCAAGAAAAUAAGGAAGGGGCAGCCAUCCCCCCUUAACCCCUCUUGCUUCCGCGUGCCCCCCAUCCUCCCGCCCCUCCCUUCCCCCUUCCCCCCUCCCCCCUUCCCUCCCCUCUCCCGCCCCCCUUCCUUUUCCUCCCUCCGUCUUUUUUUUCUUUCUCUCCCCUUCUUUCUCCCCAUUCUUCCCUCCCCCCUUUCCGUCCCCCUCUCUCCUUCCUCACUUUCUCCUCCUCCCGCUCCCCCCCUCUCUACUCUACCCCCCCCUAUUUUUCCUCUUCUUCCCCUCACUCUCUUCUCUUCCCCCCCCCCCCUUCUUUUGCCUUUCCCCCUCGCUCUUUUUCGCUUGAGUACCGUAUCUAACGGUUGAAUUCCAUUUGAAGUACGUCUAUUAUUGUUGAAAUUGAUUUAUUCAAUGGUUGUAAUAAAAUAUUUGAGUAAAAUAAAUAUUUAAAUAAAUUUAUCAAAUGAGAAUCAAAAAAUAUAAAUUCUAACGAGUACCGUUUACAGAGGUUUUUUUUUUUUUACAUAGUACCCGUUGGCACGGGUAAUUACUAGUUUAUAAUACAAAUCACAACUUAUUUUGAAUUUCAAAUCUACCUCUUAUCUACACUUAAAUCCAAUUUGAGUGAAUCCAACGGCUGAGAUUUCACUUGAAAUAUAUUUUUUUCACUCUCAAACUAUCAUUUUUUCUUCUUACUCAAGGUGGGACCCCACAUAACUUCUUACACACCAAUGAAUAAAUUUUUUAAAGAUAAACAUAAUUUACCUAUUAGAUCAUUUUUUGUGGGACCCACGUAAAAAAUUUAAACACCCUUUAUUUUCUCUUUUUUUUAUAUUUAAUAAUUUUUUUUAUUUUUUGAUCAUUUUUUUAUCUUCUUUUAGUUAUUUUGAUGAGACCCUCUCAAAAUUAUCAAAAAUUAUUCAUUUGCAUAUAAAAAUAGUUUUUUUUCAGUCACUUUCUCUUAAAUGACAUUUUUUUUUAUUUAUUAUACUCUUGCUCCUCAGCAGACUCGCCAAAUCUAAAAUAUUACCACAACUUUUUUACAUCCGGUUUUGGGGAAAACAAUUACUAAAGAUAAUUAAUGGAAAAAAUAAAAGCAGAUAAAAAUAAUUAACCCCAAAUAAAAAAGAAAGGAUUUUCAUACGCUAUUUUUUUUAAUGUACUUUUUUGUAUUUAUAAAUUAAUUUUUCAAUGGUUGUAAUAAAAUCUUUAAGUAAAAAUAAAUAUUUAAAAUAAAUUUAUCAUAAUAAGAAAAAAAAUAUAAAACUCUAACGACUACGCUUAAAAGUUUAUUUUUUUUUACUCGUGGCCGUGCAAUUACUAGUAUACAAUAUAACAUGAAAAAGCUAGAAUGAUGAAAGAACGUGAUGUAUUCUCAAAAAAAUAUAGAGAAAUGUGUUGAAGAUUUGUCAUAUAUGACAGUGGAUCAAUUUAUAUUGUUACCAGAAUGAAAUGUGAUUUUUUUAUAUCAGAAUCGAAUAUUGGGUAAAGCCAAAUUAUCGAUGUCAAAUUGAUUUUGAUUUGAAUAGUCAUAAUAAUAUCAGUAGGUUAUUAGAAUGGGAUACAAGAUGGAAGUAGGUAUUUAGCUAUGGGUAAGGUAAGGUAGCCCGAAUCAUACUCACCUCGUUGUUAUCCGCAUAAAAAUAAUUUAAUUUAUUUUCUUUUUAUCAAUCAUGUGAUAGACCACAUAAUUUUUUUUCUCUCUCACCCGCAAGGCCUUCCGACAUUUUAGAUUCAAUAAUGUUUGGUGUGGCUUUUUUGGAGGUCAUAUAGAUAAUUUUCUCUCAUUAAAACAAAAUAAAUUGACAAAAUAGUUUCCAUUAAACCUUUGACCUCAGUAUCAACAGCAAAUAAGAAAAAUCGAGUCAAUUUACAUAAACACCUAUUGAACUAAUCACUCAUUUUUUGAGUUACCCACUAAUAUUUAAACUCAGUCACUUAACUACUUAAUAUAUCUAAGUAUUGACAAUUAAUAUCGUAUGUUAAUUGUUUGUAGGAUUCUAGAUGGGAAAAGUCAUGUGACCAACACAUGAAACAAGGCCAACGAAAUUUAUUGAUUGAAAAUAUCCUAAUUAGUGGUUUUGAUGAAAAAUUUCUAUCAUCGUACCCUUUUUCAUUAAUAAUAUAAGUUAUCCCUCAAAUCUUAGAUCUUUCUGUCCUCCCAACACAAUCCAAUGAUGAGGCACCUUGCCAUCGUCGCUGCAACCAAGCCACCGCUGCCAUUCACCAUCAUUGAACAUUAUUGAUGCAAACUCACCAUUGGCAGCCAUCGUCAGGGGAAAACAUUGCGUUCUCUCUCUUUUCCUAUCGACCAGUUUUGCCAAUCAUACCAGGUUUUUAAUCGCCAUCUCUUCACCUAUCUUCUCUCAUAUCCCAAUCCCCCAAUUUUAGGCUUUAAUUGAACCCAUCGCAUCCCCCACUAAAUUGAUUACAAAACCAUUUCCUCAUAACUCCAUCUCACUCAAACGCAUCAAAAAUUAGGAGGUUGAGGUGAAUGUAAGGAUAAGAGAAAAACAUGUAGGAAGAGAGGG
rnacentral:lncRNA from 1 species